rnacentral:rRNA from 1 species
UACACGCUGUGACUAGCAUAUCAAUAAGCGGAGGAAAAGAAACUAACAAGGAUUCCCCUAGUAACGGCGAGUGAAGCGGGAAGAGCUCAAAUUUGAAAUCUUAAAGGGUUUCCCUUUACGAAUUGUAGUUUAAAGAAGUGUUUUCUGUUGAGGUUUUGGUAAAAGUUCUUUGGAAUAGGACAUCAUAGAGGGUGAGAAUCCCGUAUUUGACCUUUACUUUCAACUUUGUGAUACACUUUCAAAGAGUCGGAUUGUUUGGGAAUGCAGUCCAAAAUGGGUGGUAAAUUUCAUCUAAAGCUAAAUAUUGGCGAGAGACCGAUAGCGAACAAGUACCGUGAGGGAAAGAUGAAAAGAACUUUGAAAAGAGAGUUAAACAGUACGUGAAAUUGUCAAAAGGGAAGCGUUUGACACCAGUGUUGUUUUUCUGAAAAUCAAUUAAAGAACUGUUUAUGCUAAGCUGUUUAGACUUUAUCAGCUAUCUGUUUAGUUUUGAGCUUUUCUUUAAUGCACUUUUCAGUUAACAAGUCAACAUCAAUUUCUUUUGCUGUAAAAAAGCUUGAGGAAGGUGGCUUGAGAUUCGUCUUAAGUGUUUAUAGCCUCUUGCCUAUGCAGUCGGAGAGAUUGAGGUCUGCAGCGUAGAUCCUUCGGGGCUAAAUGCAUUUGUGCUAAGUUAUAGCAUUUUAUAGACAACUUGUUGACUAUGAUUUGUCUUGUAGCUUACUCGCUUAUGUUAUUUUACCUACGCUUAGGAUGUUGAGUCGUAGAGCACGCAG